rnacentral:tRNA from 1 species
GGAGGGGUGGCAGAGUCUGGCUUAAUGCGGCGGUCUUGAAAACCGCUGACCCUCACGGGUCCGGGGGUUCGAAUCCCUCCCCCUCCGCCA